CAGCAGCCGCGGUAAUAUGAAGGGUGCAAGCGUUAAUCGGAAUUACUGGGCGUAAAGCGUGCGUAGGCGGUUUGUUAAGUCUGUUGUGAAAUCCCCGGGCUCAACCUGGGAAUGGCAAUGGAUACUGGCAAGCUAGAGUGUGUCAGAGGAUGGUGGAAUUCCCGGUGUAGCGGUGAAAUGCGUAGAGAUCGGGAGGAACAUCAGUGGCGAAGGCGGCCAUCUGGGACAACACUGACGCUGAGGCACGAAAGCGUGGGGAGCAAACAGGAUUAGAUACCCCAGUAGUCCCUGUCUCUUAUAA
rnacentral:rRNA from 1 species